UUGUAUCUAAGAGAUGAGCUUUCAGAGAGGUAGAGGGGAAGGCUGACACGUGCUUUCCCACUCCGUGCUUGCUGCUUUUACCGUGGCUUCUCUGCAGAUGCACGUGUGGACGUCCGCCGUGUGUGGAGGGAAUGGUGACAGCAGUUUCCAGCCGUGGGGAGAACUCCGCAGGGCGUCAUUCUGCGAGCUUCAUAUUCACCUGUGUGUUCAUUCGGUCUGCGCGUCUUAUUCAUCCCCACAUAGCCUUCUGCAGGGCACUAUGAUCUUCAUCCUGAGAACUCCAGGGACUGCAGCGUUUUAGGGGAUACAGAAGCAAGGAUGUCGCUUGGGAAGCUCUGGGACCGAGACCCCCAGGAGAAUGCCUUCCAGAACUGGAUUCUAAUAGUGCAUUUUGUUCUUCAUCUCCCACCCAUAAAGACAAUGCCAGGUAGUCAAUUCCGUGACUCCACCGGAGACAUGGUCUCCCUGACACAGGAAGCGCUGAGUGACCCUGGCCUGUGUCAGCACCUUUGCUCUUCAGGUGGACACUGGGCUCACUUCCGGGACACUCAGGCAGUGUCCAGCUACCCUGGCAUCUGGCACUGGCUACAUCUCGACUCCUUCAUACUUCCUUUCUUGGGCUAAUAUUCCUUUAUUUUCCG
ensembl:lncRNA